UACGUAGGGUGCGAGCGUUAAUCGGAAUUACUGGGCGUAAAGGGCUCGUAGGCGGCCAACUAAGUCCGACGUGAAAUCCCCAGGCUUAACCUGGGAACUGCGUCGGAUACUGGUUGGCUUGAAUCCGGGAGAGGGAUGCGGAAUUCCAGGUGUAGCGGUGAAAUGCGUAGAUAUCAGGAGGAACACCGGCGGCGAAGGCGGUCAUCUGGGCUACAACUGACGCUGAUGCGCGAAAGCGUGGGGAGCAAACAGG
rnacentral:rRNA from 1 species